AUCUCUAUGAAGAUUGAGUACUAUUUGAGGAACGUAGAUACCAACUGGGUGAAAUUGUCGAUUGAAUUUUCUUCUAGUCCUGCGAACCACUCGAGCGAGGCCCGAUGAGGUUCUCGGCGAAGAAGCGGCGGUAACCUGCUUCUUUUUCAUCGUCGGUGAGGUGUGCUCUUGAUAUUGCUAAACGGAAGGCUCGUACAUGGGCCUUCGGGUCUGUGUUUCUGGCGUAUUCGGGGAAUUUCAGUUUCCCGACGUGAUGCAGCCUUACGCUGGCAAGUUUGUUUGUGAAUGGAGUCCUUCUCGUUUCCUCGAUGACCAUGUUGAUAUCCGGGGCAGAGCUUGUUGCCAUAUGCACGAUCGCAUGUAUCCUUUUGAGCUCGGCGUCGUUCCUUUCGAUAUAAUUAUGAAACGUCCCAGUUUCGGUCGGGAUCCCUAAGUCUUCCCUUUGGGGGUCGAUAUUGACGGGACCGCGAAGAUCAUGUCUCCGAGCUUGUUCCGUUAGGUUAUCGAAUCCCGUUUGAUGAAAGGUCCUCGUUGCGGAUGGAGUUCGAUUCUCGGAGAUAGAAUUGUUCGGUGGUGGGAUCCGUGUCCUUGGUUCCCCCUUCCUUUCCGUUGAUCCGUUCCGGAAUUGGAUCGGAGUGCUUCGUGGGCGUUGGAGCCCAGUGUCGAUUUCGUCCAAUCCACUGUAGCUUAAGCUUCGGUGGGUCAUGCCUUGCGGUGGGGGUCAUUGUGAAUUUUCUCUCGUGUAGCGUCCAGAUCGAGCGCUCGGGAUCUCUGGAGUACCGAACAGUCCGGUUCUUUGGGGGUUUGAUGUCGCUCUUAACGGAUCGAGGAGCGUUUGAUUUCUUUCUCGAGUGUUUGCAGCUCGAUGCUCUGCGAGUUCCCUUUCAGCUUGGUCCAGUCUGUUAGCAAUGGUUUGAUUGGCGAUCCUUUGGCUAUGAAUUUCGUCGAUUAGAGUUGUCAUCAUUCCUCGAAGUUCGGUUAAUUCUCCUCGAGUUUGGGCUAGAGGAGUCGGCAAACUCGGUCUGGAUUGGGAUCAUGUUAGGUCAUCAUAGGCUUGUCUGUCUCUGGGACGGUUCCAGACUCGAGCUCCAGCUCGUUCCGGGAUUGACGUCUGGUUGAUCAGAAGAGAUCGAUCUUGACUCGAAGUCCCGAUUGGAGGAAUUCGUUGCGUCUGGGCUGUUUCGGUCGCGUCAUUGGUUCCCGUUAACCCAGUUGGUGUCACUCCAGUUCCCGAGUCGGGUCCGACAGGAUCGAUGUCGUUGACUCUUGACGGCGCGGUUCCGGUGGUUUGGUUAGGAUCUAUAGUCGCGCUUAGGAAACUUAGAUCGGUUUUUUAGCAAAGAUAUUUUUCGUUUAUCUUCCCCACAGUCGGCGCCAAAAUGUAGAACCUAAAAUCUACACUAAGUAUUUGAUUGUGAUCAGGAGUUUGAUCUAGGGAAGACAAAAGAUGUAGGCAAUGAUAUCUUUAGAACACAACGAUGUUAACAGUUUCCAGUAGGCAAAAAUAGACUUUAUUGAUGAAUAGGAUCGAAUACAAUAAGUUGAACUAGAUCGAAUUACACAAAUGAGAUCGGUAAAGAAAAUGAUCUAAGAACAGGAGAAAACAAGGUCGAUGUAUGUGUGUAGCUCUCUCUAGGUUUUUCAACGUGUCCUUCUUCACGUUCCUUCUUCUUCCUUUAUAGUGUGCCAACUUCGGGAUCUUCGUAACUGCUCCGAGAUCUCCGUCUCUUGUUCCACGAUCUCCGCGACCUCGAUGACUCCUCCUCGAGCUCGACUAUUUGUUAUGGGCUUCAGCUCCCCUAAGGCCCAUGUCUUUGAUCGCGGUCCGUUAAGGUAUUACCGAAAAUUGGGUCCAACAGACAUGGUAUUUCGAGAUGCUCAAAACUGCUAUACCAGACUCUUCCGAAUUAGUGUUUAUGAGCGAUGGAAACCAGAGCCUCAUCGCGGCUGUAGCUAAUGUGUUUCCACGGUCUCACCAUGGCCAUUGUAUAUGGCAUUUGGCUCAGAAUGUGAGAGGGCAUGCUGUAAUACCAGCAAAGCCAUAGUCGCAUGGAAAUUUAUGAAGUUGGCAAGGUAUUACACAUUGGCUGAGUUCGAAUCUGCUUACGCAUCUUUUAAGGUGAGAUUUCCUUCAACGUUUAUGUAUGUGGAGGAGCAUACUGAGAAAGACACAUGGGCUAGGGUUUAUUUCCCAUGUGACAAAUACAACUUGGACACUAGCAACAGUGUUGAGUCAAUGAACAGCGUGUUUAAGGAGGCAAGGAGGUAUGCCUUAAUACCAAUGUUGGAUACGAUCAUCAAAAAAAUUUCGGACUGGUUUAAUGAACAUCGGAAGGACGCUGCGUCUGGAUCGAUGGAUACCAAACUGGUUCCUCUUGUCGAGAUUCACUUGCAUAACCUAUGGGGCAAAGAUGAGAAAACACCAAUGCGUGAGCUAAAUAGUUAUGAGCUUGAGUACGAAGUAACUGACACUGAUGAUGGGAAGAAUUAUGCUGUGAACUUGAUAGCGAAGAGCUGUACCUGCAAGGUGUAUGUUUAUGAGAAGUGUCCUUGUUUGCACGGACUUGCUGCUUACUUAUAUUUUCUUGAGGUUGAUGCUGCUCCUGGUCGUCGACGUGAGGUCAAGUUAGAGUAUCAUGAGUUGUGCUCAAAAUAUUACUGGACGGAACUUUGGGCAUUGGUUUAUUACAAGACCAUUUAUUCUGUGCCGAACAAGUCUGAUUGGAAUGUACCAGAUCACAUCAAAGAGCUUCAGAUCAUACCUCCGGAUCGCCUCAAGAGAAAGGGAAAGAAAAAGGAUAAGAGGAAUCCAUCUGUUGGAGAACGGCAUAAAAGAACACAAAACAUAAGGCGACCAAGGCAAAAUUUUGGUUUGAAUUGGCUAUUGUUUGGAGACCAACGUUAUCCGACUGAAUGAAUUUUUUUGGGUUUUGGAAGGCAUCGUCUCCAGUAUGUUUGAUUUUUAUCGGUUUUGUAUUUUUUAAAACUUUGGAAUACUACGUCUUCUAGUAAAACUUUGUAAUGGUAUUCUUUGCCGACAAGUAUGUUUGAAAGUAAAUUAGUAUUCAAUUUUUGAUAGAACACAUAUUCCUAAUUUUUGAUAGAACACAUAUUCCUACUGAAAAUAUAUUAGUGAAAAUAACAUAUAUUUAAAAUAACAUGUAGUAAAAAGCUCAUAGUUUCACAUUUUCUCUUGUACAUUUCAUUGUCUUUCGGAGAACACUUUCUUAGUAAGAUCAACUUAUAAAGGAGUAUUCUACAAAAAUCUUGAUUUCAAACAUAUUAUUUCACUAAUCACAAAUGCUUACAUGGUAAUGCAAAAAUGAAAAGUAAAACUUUGAUCAAAAAUUAAAAAUAUACGUAAAACUAAAAAAAAUAGAAAUCUCAAAAAAUAAAACUAUGAAGAAGAUUGGUAAAACUAGAAACUUCUGUAUAACUAAGAGCAAAUGUUUUGGGGGGGGGGGGGGGAAAUAAAAAUUAUUUUCGCGCCUAUACGUAAAAACCCCAAAAAUUCAACUAUUUGGGUCAAAAAGUUGAUUCCCCUACUCAGUUUUCCAGUCGUAUCUCUCACUUUCCCAAGAACUCUCUCUCUCUCUAUUCUAUCUUCUAUUUAUCUUCUUUUCCUUUCACUCUCACCCAUUCAUUCACAUAUCUCUUUCUCCUUCCUCUGUCUCUCUUUCACUCUUUUUGACGCUCUUUCCCUUCCCCGAACAGAGACCUUCCCUUUGCAUCAUGACUCAUCCGCAUGAGGAGAUGAGGGAGAUGGAGGAGUUGAAGAACCACUACGACAUGAUAGGGUUCAUUGCUGAUGCCCAAUACGGGAUUCCAACCCGUUGCCCAUGUGGAGGUGAAAUCAUGAAGGAUGCUUCUCCAAAUCCGAAGUAUCCAUCAGAUUUCGAUACUUUACCUGGGCGUAGGUACUUAUCCUGCAAGAGAUACAAGGACGAUGGGAUGCACUUUCGUCAGCCAUGGGUUUUCGGUGUUGAGGAAGAAGUUCGAAGCCUAAGGAGGGAGGUGGAUGAUAUGGCUGCAGAGAUUGCAAAGCUUAAGAGGCUAAUUACCCGUCCAUGAGAUUCUCGAUUCUAUGUUCUUGGUUUUAUAUGAGUUUGUGUUACAAACUUUGUCUUUGUUAUCUUGAUUUCGGAAAAUACAAGUCUUUGUUUGAUAAGACUUGUAUGGGUUUAUGUGUUAAAACUUAUGUUAUCUUAUCGAUCACUUAUGAUAUGUGUUAUGUUAAA